AGUUAUUGAUCGUCGCCGCUUUGGCUUUAAUCGCUGUCACUUCUGCUCAAUUCAUUUACCAGCCUUACGCACCGGUCUACACCUACCCGUCUUACCCCCUCACUUACCCAAUAACUUACAACCCAUACGUCACUUUACUUCGCCGAUAGAAAAAUCGUAUUUCUAUAUGAUGUGAUAUAUAUAAACAAAGUAAGCACACAUUUUAUACGAUAUACCUACUUGUAUAUUAUUCAAAAUAUUUGACUAUUUUAAUUAUUUCAACGUUUUUAAAUUACUAUGACGUUUCGAAAAACGUAUUAAAACGAUAUUAUUUUCUUUCAAUUUGUUAAAUAUACUUCUAUAAAUUCCAUUGCUGUUUUUAAAUUUUCUUGUAAAAUAACACUUUCAAAAACCCCAUUUUACAUAUGUAAACACCUAUAUUUAUUUAUUUUUAUUAACUAUUUCAUUUUUUAUUUUUUACAGAACCAGAAAAAUGAACAUACCUCUAAUUUAUAAUUAUAAGUCUUCGGUGUUAACCUCUGCUGUAAAAAUAUCAACAAAGUAAAAUGUAUUCUUCGAACAUACUUUAUUGUUAUAAAUAUUAUAAUUUAUCACUGUAAAGUUUCAUAUUGUCACAUUUUCAAUCAUAACAUUAUUGUAUUAAGUAAAUUAUCUAACUAAUAAAUAUUAUUCCUCGUAAAUGACUUACUGGACGUAUAUUAUUU
rnacentral:lncRNA from 1 species